rnacentral:sRNA from 1 species
CUGGUUUAAGCAACUCAACACAGAUAAAUAUCUAGAACAAGAAGCUUGAUGACUUUUGCUUAACUGCUUUUACAAAUUCAGCUUCAAAGAUGAAAGGAGACGUAGUCUCAUUCACCAAGAUCAAACGCUUUCCGUUUUUCUCUUCACGUCUCGCAAAGUCGAAGCAUUUGGUGGAGCUGCUGGGACAGAACACGAACUUGUAACCCUCAACAAACAAGUAUUUCUCAAUCUUAAACACUCCAUCUACGAUCUUCUUAUCCGCUCCAAGAUCUGUGGUGCCACCAAUACCCAACCAUUCUCCAGAAUACUGCUUUUCAUUAACAACCACCCACUUCGACGAUGAAGCACACGAAGGUUUGUUCACAAACGCAAUAUCUAACGGUGUUCCAGUCAUGAUCGUCUUUGAAUUUACUCCUCGCAUCGUGAUCUUCACUUUCUCCCCAAGAAUCGCCGGAUUAUAAUCCUGCAUAACAAUCAGCGGACAUUUCACAUCGCGUUCAACACCAGGUUGUAAUCCACUGGCUGUUGGACCACUGUUGAGCUGCGUCACGUAGUAUUCUUCAGCAGCAGAAAGAGGAACACCUUUCGAGUCAACGACUGGCACAGGCGGAUCCACGAACCUUGCUGAUGCCAAGGCAAACAGAAGGAAAGGAAAGGGAAUGAAUCAUCACCACCAGCUACCACCACCCACUUGGACGAUGAUGCGCAAUAAGGGUGAUAAUCAAAUGUAAUCUCUGUGUUUGUGAAUAUGCCACCUGAACUUGUUCCUUCUGUGCUGAAUUUCAGAGCCUUACUAGGGAAAUUCUCAUGGUAAUUUUGUAGAACAGCUACUUGGCAUGUUGAGUUCCCGUCUGUGUCUAGUUCUACUCCACAACCUGUUGGGCCAUGAUGAUUAAGCAUUGAAAUGUAGUAUUCAACACAUGGAGAAAUGGGUACUCCAUUUGAGUCAAGGACUUCUUCAUGAACCCUAGAGAAUGCUAAUGGAAGAAACAUGGUAUAGAAGACAAAGAGGAAAGAGAGAGUAAGGGAUAGUGUAGACUUCAUGGUUUGUGUUGGUGUUUGUAUUUAUGUUU